CUGAAAUGUUAUCUGCAAAGUGCCAGCACUUUAG
rnacentral:sRNA from 1 species